GAGUUCAUCCCGAAGAACAUUAACUCACGAACCACUCACUUGUGUCGUCGUUCACUGUCUCUCACUCUGACCUCACACCCUAAUCUUGUUCGUUCACUCACCGUUGUCUCAACUCAUUCUCAUCUCACUCAUAAUUGUGUCGUGUUCAGUCAUAGGUUCGUUGCUGACGACGAUCACCAAAUUCUUCUUCUCGCUCUGAUGGUGAUGCUCACAUAGUUCGUUGAUAUGCACAUUACGCUGUUUGGUUCGGUUUGCAAGACAUUGUUGCAUUGUUACCAGAGCUGGAUUGAGACAAAGGUGUUGUGGUUUGGGAAGAAUCGGAGUGGUAUUAAGGGAAGCAGGAGGGAACACAGGUGUCUCAGACAAAUUCAGAUUUGGCUAUUUCAGAUGCUUUUCAGAUGACAGGAGUUGUUGAUUCUGAUGGUGAGUUUUUGCUUUCAUGUGUUUGAAAGUUCAAUCUUUUCGUACCUCUUUAAUUGGAUUUUUAAAGGUUCUUG